GGCCUCUUAGCUCAGUUGGCUAGAGCGUUGGCUCUACUAAAGCCUUUCACUUGCUGGCAUGGGUUAGAAUCCUACCGAGGCCA
rfam:Schistocephalus solidus strain NST_G2 genome assembly, scaffold: SSLN_scaffold0001636